GGCAAGCUUUCCUCUUUAAACCUUUGUUCCUCUCUUCCUUCUCUUGCAUCAUGCCUUACUUUUGUUGAGAAUUCUGUCGACUGAGAGGAAUUUUCUCCGGCAACUCUUCGGCAAGUGUAGAGAUCCGUACUAAGCUGUAGUUCACGGGACUUGGUGAACCCAAUUCUGUAGCUCGGAGCCAGGAGAAGAUCAAGUCUAGGAUCGGGGGGUGUCUGGGGGUCGUAUUGUCUGCUUUUAUCAAUAUCUCUAUAUUACCCCCUUGUGAGUGUAAGACUUGUAUUCUGACUGUAUUUGUAAAUUGCGAACUGUUGGGUUGUAUUUGUAUUCUGUAGGGCUGCUAAAGUCCAUACUUGUAGUAUUUCAGUA